rnacentral:lncRNA from 1 species
AAUGGAAACCAAAAGACUAUAAACUAAUACUUAAAAGUUCUGAAACUAUAUCUAGUGAAUAUAUAUAGUGAAUUUACUAUAUUUUAUAGGUAAUGAACUGUCUUCCAAAGUUAAGACAUUUUCAGACAAAUAAAAAUUUUGUUUACCACCCACAGAUGACCGUAAAGAAAAUUUGGGAAUGUGUAUUUCAGGGAAAAUGAAAAUGAUCCCAAUAAAGAUCGGAGAUGCAGGAAGGAAGGAAAACAUAGAAAUUGGAGCCAGUUGGAGUGUGAGGCUUCAGAAUCGCCUUCCAACUCUCUGUGCACUGCACCAGCUGCUUCCCAUAGACUCCUGGUAAAAUAUGAGAGCGGAAGGAAGAAGAGCCACUACCCAUAACAUCAGUGGCUGCUAACUAAGGAGUGUUUUGACAUGCUGGUACAGCCUAUCCUCAGCUUUCCAGAAGGUGGAAUCUUGUGAUAGUGGAAAGAAGUAGAAGAGAUGAAGGUAGGCCAGUAACCAGCGAUGCCCAGCUGGCUCUGCUAGGAUUACUUACAGCCUGUAUUUGCUCUGAUUGGUGAGGGUCUGUGCCAUGGUUGGUAUUAUUUGAAAACCAUUUCUGGCUACACACCAGUUAUAAAAAA